AUUUAUAAAAAAAUUCAGAGCCCCGAGUCUCUGGAGAGAGAGCCAAGGAAACUACAUUUUAAACAAACGAGUGAAUUUGAAGCCCAUAGUGCUAAGGUGGUACAUGGCUCAAACUUCUUUAGGACAUGCACUCCUGGAUCAGGAGGUGUAAGCUAACUGAGUCAGCACAGGACUUUUGUCCUAGAAGAUGAUGAAAUGCUUUCCCGACUGAGUACAAAACUGGGACUGCAGCCACUUGGCCUGCUUUGAAAAGGGAAUACCAGGGAAGUAUAUUCAUUUCAUCCUUUCUAAACAACGGAUCCAGGAGACAGGUCUUAGAGUGGGAGACUGGAGUCACAGCCUGAGAAGUUGACCGUGGGAAGCAGGUGUUGCAUAUAGAGUGGCCCUACAGAUGUGUCAAGAACGGGAACCAACUAGAUCUCGCUCACCACAUGAUCAUGUCUCUUGAUUGUGACCAUACGUUCCUUUGUGUGGGGACUGUCAAAUCCCAUGGCUGUUGAAAGGAAAACAAACAUCUUCUGAUGGUCACUGUCCUUCAAAAUCUCCAGGUGAGAAAAGAGCCUCGUGACUCAGCCUACCUGUCUCAAGAGCAGACAUCAUCUUCUAAGACCACCCCUUCUGUUAAGCAGGGAAAGGAUGCUUGUGACCAGAGCUGGAGGUCUCGGCUUCAGAUGAUCUCCCGGAAGACCUACUAGGAUCCCUGUGUUUCCAAAUGUACAGCAAGAAAUCUGGACUAAGCUGCUACAAAUUCUUUACAUAGAAAAUCCCGGAAUCCUGCCAAAGAAUUGUUAUCUGAGAGAACUCCCAGUUGGCAUCAGAAAACUAAACAAAACUCUUUUGUUUUUAU
rnacentral:lncRNA from 1 species